GUCUGUCUGUAGCUGUCUGACUUCCUCUCCUCUCCCCGCACUGAGGAGCAGUCAGUUUUGCAGGCUUUCCAGGCAUCCGUUGAGCACCGCGUGCGUGCUGAGCCCUGGUCAGCAGUGACUCGAACUUGACCCUUCCCCUCGGGGCAGAGAAGACUUGGAAAUUUCACCUCUGGCACCAGGAACUAAACGGAGGAUAGCAUGGACCCGUUGGGGACUUCUGAAGCAGCCUCUUCUAGAAUCCUCAGAGCUGCAGCACCUUAGAGCUCUGUGACCUCAGCACUGAAUGGUAGUGUUGAACUGGAAUCAGCCUCCCAUUAUACAGAUAGAAAAACUGAGGCUGGGGAAGUGACUGAACGGCCCUGCAGAGACGUGGUGAAAGAGGCUUUGGAAUCCAGCCCAUCUUCCACUAGAUGAGGCAAGUCUGGCCCGCCACUUGCUUUUGUAAAUAAAGU